ACUUGGAUGUGUUACCACGGGCCAGCUACUUGGGCCUGACUGACCUCGCAGGAAGCCGACUAUGGCCCAGCCGCCCCACCGCUUGGGUACGGCAGCGCGCACGCCUGAUCCCCUGUUUCCCCACCGCUGAAAUCUUAUCCUCUCAUCGUCUCGUCGUCUCGUCUCGAUUCUUCCUCUCCCUCGCACUUUCCUCAUCUUCAUUCGCCAACGCAACAAGACGCUAGAGACGAUGCACGGCUGGGUCCUGCCGCGAUUCCCGCCGUCCGUGCGCUUCGAUGCUGCGCUGGAGGAGGCGCUGUCGUGCUCGCCUGCGCAAGGUGCGGGCUUUGCAAGGCAGGGCUCGCUGCUCUCCAAGGGGCAGGCGACAGCCACUGGUGACACCGUGUGUCACAACACACGUAUUUUCAACUUGUACACUGCAAAAGCACGCAACCGCACUCGUUUCUAUCCCCCCCUUCGCAAAUCCCCCCUUUUUGCCACUCCAGUAGCCCGGCCUCCCUGCCUCCGACCGCGCCUGGAGAGGAGCUCCAGCUGUGCCACGAGCAGGCCAGCCCAGGAGCUGUCACUUCCCCCUCUCUCCUUCUCUCUCUCGACUUUUACCUUCUUUUUCUCUUUGUUUCUAAUCUUUGUUUUCUAUAGGGAAGUCACCAUGGAACAACCCCGCCGCCUUGGAGCUCGGCCCGCCUCCGGCCGGCCACCUCUCCAUCGGCCUCGUGCUCCUCCGCCUCGAUCCGUCCGCCCCAUCGCCAUAUCCGCGCCGGAGCAGCCGGAUCCGCUACCCAGACCACCAACCAAGAGCCGCCUCUUGCCUGUCCUACGGUCGAGAGGAGGACGACCGAGAGGAGCGCCCAUUGAUCCGCCGCCUGGGCCGCCUUGGAGCACGCCCUGCCUCCGGCCGCCACCUCUCCGUCAGCCUCGCGCUACUCCGACAUGAUCCGUCUGCCCCACCGCCGGAUCCGCCGCCCAGACCACCAACCAAGCAUCGGCCCUUCCCUUUCCUGCGGUCGUGGGUUGAAUACUCCAAACGAUAGGGAGUUUUGUGUAAAAACAAAGCAUUUUCUUGAUUAAGCACUUAAAAUAGGACCGCGGGUUGAAUAUCAAAAAACAUAGGGAUUUUUAUGCAAAAAUACAAACGACGUACGACCAGAAGCGAAGCGAUGCGUGGUUUAUUAGUAGGGAAAGAUAAACGGAGUUGGAUGUAAUAGUAUAUUCCAAUGUGAUGCGACUGUACUCCCUGAAAAGAAAAUGAGGUUUGGCUGUUCGGAA